GUGGCUCAGUGGUAGAGCUCUUGCCUUGCAUGCAUGAAGCCCUGGGUUUGAUUCCUCAGC
rnacentral:tRNA from 1 species